rnacentral:rRNA from 1 species
CGAAAGUCAGAGGUUCGAAGGCGAUCAGAUACCGCCCUAGUUCUGACCGUAAACGAUGCCACCUGACGAUCCGCCAGGGUUACUACCAUGACUCGGCGGGCAGCCCCCGGGAAACCCAAGCCUUCGGGUUCCGGGGGAAGUAUGGUUGCAAAGCUGAAACUUAAAGGAAUUGACGGAAGGGCACCACCAGGAGUGGAGCCUGCGGCUUAAUUUGACUCAACACGGGGAACCUCACCCGGCCCGGACACCGCGAGGAUUGACAGAUUGAGAGCUCUUUCUCGAUUCGGUGGGUGGUGGUGCAUGGCCGUUCUUAGUUGGUGGAGCGAUUUGUCUGGUUAAUUCCGAUAACGAACGAGACUCUAGCCGGUUAAGUAGCCCGGAGCGGUUUUUGAUCUUUGCCGUCCGUCCUCCGUCUUACCUUUUUUUUCCCGUCCUCGGCUGACCGGUCAACGGAGGGGAAAGGGAAAAAGGCGAGGAGGUGGUCAUCCGUGGCGGGGUUUCUCCGUUUUCCAUGCGCGUUCGCCCUCACCGGCGGACGUCGCACGGGCGGUGGCCCUGUCCCGGGGAAGCCGUCGCUUCGUUUUUUCCUCCCUGAACCUUCGCCCGGGAGGUCGAGACGGAAAGGGUGGUCGAGGCGGAAGCAUAACCGAAGGCCGCCGGCUUUUACAGGAAGCUUCUUAGAGGGACGAGCGGCGUUCAGCCGCCCGAGAUUGA